GCUCCGUUGGUCAAAUGGUUUAAGACGCCACACUUUCUAUGUGGAAUUAAGGGUUCAAUUCCCUUACGGAGUA
rnacentral:tRNA from 1 species